AUGGUUAAUGAAGGUAUUGUCUUGGGGCACAAAGUUUCUGAAAGAGGUAUUGAGGUUGAUAAAGCCAAGGUUGAUGCUAUUGAGAAGAUGUCAUGUCCCAAGGACAUCAAAGGUAUAAGAAGUCUCCUUGGUCAUGCCGGAUUUUAUAGGAGGUUCAUUAAGGACUUCUCAAAAAUUUCUCAGCCUUUGACUAAUUUAUUACAAAAAGAUAUACCAUUUGUUUUUUAUGAUGAUUGUGUAGAAGCAUUUGAAAUACUUAAGAAAGCAUUGAUCUCUGCACCUAUUGUUCAGCCACCUGAUUGGAAUUUACCCUUUGAAAUUAUGUGUGAUGCUAGUGAUUAUGUUGUAGGUGUUGUUCUAGGGCAAAGAGAUGAUAAUAAAUUAAAUGUUAUUCAAUAUGCUAGUAAAACCCUAGACAAUGCUCAAAGAAAUUAUGCUACCACUGAAAAAGAAUUCUUAGCAGUUGUAUUUGCUUGUGAUAAGUUCAGACCUUAUAUUGUUGAUUCUAAAGUAACUAUUCACACUGAUCAUGCUGCUAUUAAAUAUCUUAUGGAAAAGAAAGAUGCUAAACCUAGACUUAUUAGAUGGGUUAUCUUGCUACAAGAAUUUGACUUACAUAUUGUUGAUAAAAAGGGAGCUGAGAACCCCGUUGCAGACAACUUGUCUAGGUUAGAAAAUGUGCUUGAUGACCCACUUCCUAUUGAUGAUAGCUUUCCUGAUGAGCAAUUAAAUGUCAUAAAUGCUUCUCAUACUGCUCCAUGA
rnacentral:rRNA from 1 species